UACGUAGGGCGCAAGCGUUGUCCGGAAUUAUUGGGCGUAAAGAGCUCGUAGGCGGUUUGUCGCGUCUGCCGUGAAAGUCCGGGGCUCAACUCCGGAUCUGCGGUGGGUACGGGCAGACUAGAGUGAUGUAGGGGAGACUGGAAUUCCUGGUGCAGCGGUGAAAUGCGCAGAUAUCAGGAGGAACACCGAUGGCGAAGGCAGGUCUCUGGGCAUGUCCUGACGCUGAGGAGCGAAAGUGUGGGGAGCGAACAGG
rnacentral:rRNA from 1 species